CGGCGCGUAGCCAUCACCGCCAUAUUGAAUUUUCCGCCGAAGAGUUUGCCGCUAUUUUUUAAAUGACAACAACAAAGAAAAUGAAAAAUUAACCACACCCAUAAACUAAACAUGAAACGCUGGAUUGGAUACAAGAUAUUAAAUCCUCUCUGGGACAACAAUACUAAAACUACCAUCAGACCACCUAGUUACCUACCUACUAACUAGAAGGAUAAUGGAAAUAAGAUACAGAAAUGAAAUCAAGCAAUUGUGUAUAUUCAAUAUUGGUGUCAGAAAAAUUACUCAACCAGUGUGUGUUGUGUGUGUUAUUCACCCAAAUAAAGUUUUACGUCCAUAAAAUGUAUUUCUUCUUUCAUAAAAAGUAAUUGUAUAGUAGUAAGUACCUAUAUAGUUUCUUAAAGUCAGGCAUAUUUUUCAGAUAAAAGGUAACCUAGGUAGGUACAACUUGUUUUUUCCUGUAACAAAAUAGGUAGUUAAAUAUUUGAGCUAUGUAGAGACCACUUUGAGUAAAAUAUUCUUACAAGUUGAAAGAUAGAGAGUUAGAUAGGUACACAGGUAGGUGAGUUAAGGUUAAGGUGUUCCUCAUGUAUGUAGAGCUGGUCCGUUUGGAAGAGGUGUUAGGGCUAGUGUAAUCCUGAAGUAGAUCGGUAGGUGUGUUGAUUAAUUUUUAGACCUAGAACUAUAACUUAAGUGGUUUUAAGCAACCCGGUUCAUGCCUACCUUGUCAGUAACACGUUUUUCAGUCAUUCAGUCCAAAGAUCAGAAAUAAUAAUAUGACAAAACAGAGUCACUUUCACAUCGUAGUUUCGCAAAAAAUAAUAAGUUAGCGUCGUUGCAAUUAGCUUUACAUGCU